GACGAACGCUGGCGGCGUGCCUAAUACAUGCAAGUCGAGCGCAGGAAGCUGACGGAACUCUUCGGAGAGAAGGCAGUGGAAUGAGCGGCGGACGGGUGAGUAACACGUAAGGAACCUGCCUCAAGGAUUGGGAUAACUCCGAGAAAUCGGAGCUAAUACCGGAUAGUUCGACGGACCGCAUGGUCCGCUGAUGAAAGGCGCUUCGGCGUCACCUUGAGAUGGCCUUGCGGUGCAUUAGCUAGUUGGUGGGGUAACGGCCCACCAAGGCGACGAUGCAUGGCCGACCUGAGGGGGUGAUCAGCCACACUGGGACUGAGACACGGCCCAGACUCCUACGGGAGGCAGCAGUAGGGAAUCUUCCACAAUGGACGAAAGUCUGAUGGAGCAACGCCGCGGGAGUGAUGAAGGUUUUCGGAUCGUAAAACUCUGUUGUAAGGGAAGAACACGUACGAGAGGGAAUGCUCGUACCUUGACGGUACCUUACGGGAAAGCCACGGCUAACUACGUGCCAGCAGCCGCCGUAA
rnacentral:rRNA from 1 species